CACAGUUUGAAGUAUUUUCUUUUUUUUUUCACGAUCAGGACUUCACCCGUAUUUUAAUUAAAGGGAAACAACAAACACAGAGAGGCGCACACUGGAUAGCGAGCAGCCCACCAGUGUGCCCUGGAAAAAACACCUAGCUACUGAGUCCGUUGCUGGUGAUUACAUUACAAUAUAAUUGUGCGACCAAGUAACUACGAAAGACAGAAGCCAGCCCAAAGCCAGUAAUCGUCCUCUUGUAUUGCCCGAAGCCUCAACUCCGAAGCACCUGCUGCCGAGCGCGCGAACAUCCUGUCAUUCCUCUCUUUUCAGAUGAUCCAGGAAAUUAGCAAAACAAGAGAGUCAAACGAUGGAAGCACCGCUCGCUCCAGCAGCGCGCGCUGGCCCAACCACCAAACUGCAACAGACUGAGUAUGAUCUGGCGCGAGUGCA
rnacentral:lncRNA from 1 species